ACGAACGCUGGCGGCGUGCCUAAUACAUGCAAGUAGAACGCUGAAGGAGGAGCUUGCUUCUCUGGAUGAGUUGCGAACGGGUGAGUAACGCGUAGGUAACCUGCCUGGUAGCGGGGGAUAACUAUUGGAAACGAUAGCUAAUACCGCAUAAUAGCAGUUGUUGCAUGACAACUGUUUGAAAGGUGCAAUUGCACCACUACCAGAUGGACCUGCGUUGUAUUAGCUAGUUGGUGGGGUAACGGCUCACCAAGGCGACGAUACAUAGCCGACCUGAGAGGGUGAUCGGCCACACUGGGACUGAGACACGGCCCAGACUCCUACGGGAGGCAGCAGUAGGGAAUCUUCGGCAAUGGACGGAAGUCUGACCGAGCAACGCCGCGUGAGUGAAGAAGGUUUUCGGAUCGUAAAGCUCGGUUGUAAGAGAAGAACGAGUGUGAGAGUGGAAAGUUCACACUGUGACGGUAUCUUACCAGAAAGGGACGGCUAACUACGUG
rnacentral:rRNA from 1 species